ACUACUUAUAAAGAACCACAAGUGAGAAGAAGUGAUUGUGGAUGCUUAGUUGCUUUUUUCGUCGUUUUUAAGCGAUUUCGGUGUUUUAUCAAUUGGUUACACCUACCGAAUCGAUAGCUAAGGCAAUUAUAGUAUUAUACGAUUUUAAAGCAGAUUAGACAGCUAAGAUGUCAUUCCGAGACAGAGAUCGUGGAGAUAGACGUCCUAGUGGAGGAAACCGAGGAGGCAAUCGAUUCGGAGGGCGAGACAGUGGGAGCCGAUUCAGUGGCGGAGGUAGAGACUCUAGCAGAGAUGGAGGAUCGUUUGGAGGUAAUUCUUUCAAAAAUAAGCAACCAGGUGAGCGUCUACGCAAGCCACGAUGGGACAUGAACAGUCUACAGCCAUUCCGCAAGGAUUUUUACCAGCCACAUCCAAACGUAUUGGCCCGUAGUCCCCACAUGGUUGAAAUUUAUCGAUCAAAUAAAGAAGUCACUGUCAAAGGAAGUAACAUUCCAGGGCCAAACAUAUAUUUUGAGGAGGGAGGAUUCCCUGACUAUGUCCUCAAUGAAAUUCGAAAGCAAGGUUUUACUGAGCCAACUGCAAUCCAAGCGCAGGGCUGGCCCAUUGCUCUUUCUGGACGCGACAUGGUUGGUAUUGCCCAAACCGGUUCAGGAAAAACACUAGCUUACAUCCUCCCAGCUAUAGUGCAUAUUAACAACCAACCGCGUCUUGCCCGUAACGAUGGACCUAUCGCUCUGGUCUUAGCACCCACAAGAGAAUUAGCUCAACAAAUUCAGCAAGUUGCAGCUGAUUUUGGAAGCACCUCUCAGGUCCGAAACACCUGCAUAUUUGGUGGAGCGCCAAAGGGACCACAAGCUAGAGAUCUAGAAAGAGGUGUAGAGAUCUGCAUUGCAACACCAGGGAGAUUAAUAGAUUUCUUAGAACGAGGAACUACAAACCUACGUAGAUGCACUUAUCUCGUACUUGACGAAGCUGACAGAAUGCUGGAUAUGGGAUUCGAACCACAGAUUAGAAAAAUUGUUGAGCAAAUUAGACCAGAUAGACAAACUCUGAUGUGGUCCGCAACCUGGCCCAAGGAAGUUCGCAACCUUGCUGAAGAGUUUUUGACUGAUUACAUUCAGAUUAAUAUUGGAUCACUGCAACUAGCAGCAAAUCAUAAUAUCCUGCAAAUUGUUGACGUUUGUGAGGAGUAUGAGAAAGAAGGAAAGCUCAUGAAACUCCUCGAAGAAAUUUCUAACGAACCUGAAAAUAAGACAAUCAUCUUCGUUGAGACGAAAAGAAAAGUAGAUGAUAUCACUAGAGCUAUCAACAGAUUUGGGUGGCAGGCCAUCGGUAUCCAUGGAGAUAAAAGUCAACAGGAACGAGACUACGUUCUAAAUCAAUUCCGGGCUAGCAGAUCUGCUAUCUUAGUUGCAACUGAUGUGGCAGCUCGGGGUUUAGAGGCACAUGCGACGGAGUUUUAUCAAUGAUAAGAACUCUGGAGAGCUUGCUUGGGAUUAAAUACAAAAUAGAUUGAGGCGUGACUGCUGGUCUCCGCCCCCUUGCAACAAGCUAACAAUACGCUGUGCCUCGGCUUGCCGUGCGUGCCACUUGAAUUACACACUCUCACUCUAUACCUGUGAUGGUCCAAAGUAUGGAAGAGAUUAUAGCAAUUUCUAGCACACUUUGCAGGGGACGACCACCCAUGGAAAGACAGGGAGAAUAAGGAGCAUAUGAGAGGCACGUGCGUGUUCCUGCCUCCGGUGUUACCUGUGCCUCUGUUGAAAAACCACAAACAUGGGACAAACGUUUUAUAAGAUCAGCAUAGAUCCAUACUUUGGGGUGCGGGAGAGAAGGGUGUGGCUAUGCCAAGUCGAUAGGGCUAAAACUAUAGCUAAAAGUCAACUGAGACUUUCGUGAGAACCAUCUGAGGUCUGAUUCCUGUACAUUCGAACAAAAAAAAAUGUCUUUGCAUUUCCAGCUGUAGCACAAAACAGAUGUGGAAGACGUCAAAUUUGUGAUAAAUUUGGACUAUCCCUCAAAUUCUGAGGACUACGUACAUCGCAUUGGUCGUACUGGACGUUCCCAA
rnacentral:misc_RNA from 1 species